rnacentral:tRNA from 1 species
UGGCAUAGUGGUUAAAGCGCUUGGCUGCUAAUCAAAAGGUCGGUGGUUCGAACCUAUC